AACUACAAUUAAUUAAAUUAUGAAUUAAUUAGUAACUUUAUAUAUACAAUAAUUAUUUGAUAUUAUAUAACGAUUAAUUUAAUGAAUUUUUUAAUGAACUGUUAAUUAUUUAUUAAAAAUAUUUUUUAAAAACUUCAAGAAAAACACCUUCAAAUACAAUUUCAAUUUUUAAUUAACGCUUUAUAAUUUAUUAUUAAAUUUUAAUUUAAUAUUAAUUUUUAUGAUGAAGUGCCUGUAAUAAUUUUUGAAUCAUAAUUUUAAUUAAGAGCUCUUUGAAUCCUGAGUUAUUUUUAAGCUGUUAUAAUUCAUGUUAUAAGAGAUAUAAUAAGAAAUGACAAAUGGUGAAAUUGGGUUGCAGUUGUUACAGAAUUUGAUAUUAAAGUAUGAACAGCUUUGUGACAAACAAAUAAAUUUUCAAGCACAAAUAUAAAUCAACUUGGGCUACAAAUAGAGAAUGCUAGAGUGUUUAAUAAUGAAUUAUUUCAAUUCUAUUAUAUUAGUUAAAUUUAUUAAAAAACUUAUUCAUUAUUGUCAUGUAUAAAUAAUUAAUUUCCGUGUUUAAUUAAAUUAUUGCAAAAUAGAAUCGCGUAUAUUAUUAAAGAACACUAAUUUUA